CCAACCCCUGCCAGGGGCAGGGACACCUUCCACUAGAGGAGCUUGCUCCAGGUCCCGUCCAGCCUGGCUCACCGAGCCGUGGCUUCCCAGGCUGAGCAGUGCCCAGCCCUGCCCUGUGCAGGGUCUGAAUGCAGCCACUGUCUCUCACAUCCCCCCGGCGCACACAGGAGGAGCUGGCAAAAGGAAUGAGGCUCUUUGCUGGCAUGGAAAAGCGCCUUGACCUGGGCCGGUGGUGUCAGGAACCGUUUCAUUCACAGCUCUCAGGAAGGCCCGGAGGCAGCAGCAGCUGGUCAGCAAACGGCUUCUGCGGGAGGACACCGCAGCAGAGGAGGGGGCACAGGAUGGAGCAGGGAUUAAGCCGGACCCUCUCUCGGAGAAUGAGGUUCUUGAGCUGCUCAGGAGCGUGCAGAAGGGUUCUGAGGACAGGAAAAGAUCUCUCAGCCGCCUCUGCUGGGCUCUGCGAAGCAAGGAGACUCAGCAGAAGUUUGUCAGGCUGGAUGGCAGCAUCCGGACACUCAUCGGGCUCUUCACCAGCAGCCUGGCUGAUGUGCAGAUGCAGGCAGGCCGCUGUCUCCAUGAGCUGUCCCACUCCAGUGACCCUGCUGUGGCUGAGGCAUGUCUGCCAGUGACCUCCUACCUCCUCACCUACCUCUCUGGGCACAGCAUUGAAUUCACGGUAAGAUCUGUGUUUGCCUGGGCGCUGGCACCUGAUAACCCUUUGAUAGCAAUUGGGUGUUGGCCUCUCUUGGCCAGCCUUAGCCUAACGUGGCUCACAGGGAGUGCUGGUGGGAAGGGGCCCCUGGAAGUCUCUGGUCCAGCCUUCCCCUUGUCCUCAGUGCUAGCACAGCAUCUUGCCAAGUCUUGAACAUAUGGAAACCCCAUUCGCUGUGUCCUGUCCCAACACCAAGAGGAGUUUCAUUGUGUUCUAAGUAGCUGCAGGCUGCUCCUAAGUGCUCUCAGGUCUUAUCCAGGUCAGGCAAAUCCUCCUCCCGCAGCCCAGGAGCCAGUAUUUUGCCCCAUUUGCAAUGGGUUCCUGCUCUCCAGCUCCAAGCUCUGUUUGGGGACUGUGGUGUGGGAGCUGGGCUCCAUCCUUAGACAUGAGUUCUGGGCCUGGGCAGGAGAUACCCUGGUGUCUGGAUAAAGCAGAAAUACCAGAUGGAAGUUAGCUGAGUGUUUGAAAGAAAGGUUGGAAACAUGAAAGGAAUGAGCAGCUGCAGGCUGGGUCAGGGACAGCUGCUUUGGCAGGGUACCUGUGUGCAAGAAGCAGGAAUUUGGGUCAGAGGAGCAGAGACUGCCU
rnacentral:lncRNA from 14 species